ensembl:lncRNA
GUGCAUGGCAUGGUGACCCCACAGCUGAUUCAGCUCUUCUCUACUGCUAAGCCUGGAGUGUUUCCAGUGUUUCACUCUAAGUGUCACAAGGACCCCCUGAAGCACCCGUCAUCCUGUGUGAUGACCUGUUUGGCGAUAUUCCCCUCACAAGACCAUAGGCUCCUUACCUUCAGAGACCUGCAUGUCCUGAGUCCACCGUGACAAGCACACCACCUGGCCGGGGGACUGCCCAAUGAGGAUUGUGAGAUGAAAGAACGAUGGGUGACGAACUGAACGAGCGGUCACUGAAUGCAUUCAGCCUGCCUGCCCAUCCAGCACACCUGACCCCACAGGAUGAGGAGGAAGCAGAGGAUGCCACCUCCCACGGCAGCGUGCUCCCGAGGCUGGCGCUGAAGACAUUUGCAUGGCGUCUGCUAUGAGUCAGGAAGCUGCAGGCCCUCAUGGGAGGUGUGACCAUAGACCACACUUCCUUGACUGGAGGAAAGAUGUUUGGGAAAUAACCAAGAGAAGAUUCUCCAUGAAUAUUAACAUAUGGCAGGCUCUGCGAAGACCUAGAGAAAACGUAUUAAGACAAAUGGCUUCACCCCUGAACACAGGGGGAACCAGACACUCUAUAUGCAGUUCAACAUCCCCGAGGUUCCUGUGAGUUUAACAUACAGCUGUGGAGCACGACAGACCUCUGCAGAAAGUACUGGGAAAUGGUCCUUCAACAAUACAUUACCAGGAAGUUUGCCUGUAAUAACUGCGGAAGGGACAAGCGAAAAGGUCAGAGACGGUCUGAGUUAAGCAUUGAUUUGAAAGGUACAGGGCAAAUCCUUCAGUGGACUGAUCGGGGAAAAAGGAGGCAGCUCUGGUUUCCAACACCAGGAAUGAAAGAGGGAGCCACACUAUAGAUCCUGCAGUCAUCAAAAGGAUCAUCAGGCAAUAUUAUGGUCAAUGUUAUGCCAAUGAAUUUCACAACUUAGAGGAUAUGGACUAAGCUGGACCUCAACUGACGGCUUUUGUACUGAAUUGUGAAAACACUAGAGGGAAAGGAAAUAAAGUGAAAGAGGAAAAGGAGGAGCCUAACCAGGACAAAUAUGCAAAGACGUAGACUGUCACUGUCUUGAGGAAAUAGACAUAUGGUCUUCGUGGCUGGCAACCUCCAAAACGGCUCUUCUUGAUCUUCUCACCCCUGUGUAAGAGCCUCCUUUUGAAGGUGGCCUGGACCAAGUGACUGACUUCUAAUGAACAGAAUAUGGCAAAAGUGAUGGGUAUGACUUUCAAGAGUAAGUUGCAAAAAGACUGCACUUUCCAUCUUGAGUGUUCUCUUUCCCUCUCUCACAGAUUGCUCCCCCGGGAAAGCCAGCUGCUGGGCCCGUGUAACAAGGGGCCAAGCCCGUCAACAGCCAAUGAGUGAGCUUUGCCCACACCAGCAUCUUCACACCUUCAGAUGAGUCCACGGCCCUGGCCUAAGUGUGACUGCAGCUUCAUGAGAGACCCUGAGUCGGAGGCACCCAGCAAAGCCACACCUGGAUUCCUGACCCACAGAGAUAAUAGAUGUUUGUUCUUUUAGUCAACUGAGCUUUGGAGUAAUUUGUUAUGCAACAAUAGAUUCGCUAAUAGAGCCGCCAUAUUCAGAAGAUAUUUCUCGCUAUCCCUCAAACAAGCUGUGGUCAGGGCCAGAGGGCUUCAUUCCUUACCUGGUACAUUUCCACCAAGGCUACAUUGCCAGCCUUACCCCAAACACCAAGCACGAGGCCUUGGGGGUCAGAGACUUAAAGAACAUCCUUUAUAAGACCACACGCACCUUGUUCAACCUCUAAACCUACUUCCGUAUCUUUAAAAUGGACCCCUGGGGAAGGUUGAAGGAAAGAGUGCCUGAAAGUUCCCAGCACAGUCUCCUGCACGUGGUGGACGCUCAGUAAACAUUGCCUCUUGUGCUCACAUCAGCCUCACUAAGCAAGCACCCAAAGAGCAAAUUAGCUUCCCACCAACAACCGACCACAGUGCAAAAUGGAAUCACAACCCCCUUGCCAAAGAUGUACUCCCGCACUCUGCCCUCUGGUAGCUCAGAGGAACAGCUGAGAGAAAGCAUGCAGUCCGCGCGCCCUGAGUCAAAGACCUGCCUCCUAGAGGCUCCUCUGCUGCUCCCCCAGGGCCGUGGCGAGCCAGCCCUCUGGGCCAUGCUUUCUCAACUUCACAUUAGGCAGUGCUGGCUUCUGGUUUCCGGUCUGGUGUGGAAAUUGUGACUCCAUCUUAAGAAAAGUCAAAAGCUGAACAAACUGAAAAAUCAACUUUUCUUAGAGCCUUCAGAAAAGCAAGGUCACAGGGAAAACUGCUGCCCCCCAAGUGGGAGAGCCAGGCAGCAGACACUGAGAAUCACGACUUCCUGGAGCAGAGUCCCCGCGGGCAGCAGGACCAGGACAGGAAAACCUAAGCUGGGAUUGAUGGACUGCUGGAGGCUCAGUGUGGACAAGUCCGAGAGUUAACAACUCCAGGGGACCAGCCAGAGGGGGCUCUCAAAAUAUUGUGAGCUUUACCUCCCAGAGCUCUCCCAUGUUCUCACAGAGAAUAUCUCAGAAAGAUCCCCGUGCGUUUCCAGCCAGGGAGGGGGAAAAGGAACCGUUGUGAAACACACCAGAGCAUGCUGUUCUUCUUAACAGGGCCUGCCCUCAAGAGAAACUGUUUUACCGAGUCCAACUAACCUGGGAGAAAGGAAACACCCAACUCCAGCCCUUUCUAGCCAUCCUGUCCCGCCUAAGAAGAGGAAAAGCACUUGUGAAGGUCACAGCUCAGAGGCACAGAACUCACUAAGGACUGAAACUAAUCACAGGACUAGAGCACGUCCCCUCCCCCACCUCACCUCCUCACUGCUAAGUGUGGUCUAUUUACCACAAUUCCUUUCCCG